CCUACGGGAGGCAGCAGUGGGGAAUAUUGGGCAAUGGACGCAAGCCUGACCCAGCAACGCCGCGUGAAGGAAGAAGGCCCUCGGGUUGUAAACUUCUUUUAUCAGGGACGAAAAAAAUGACUGUACCUGAUGAAUAAGCCACGGCUAACUACGUGCCAGCAGCCGCGGUAAUACGUAGGUGGCAAGCGUUAUCCGGAUUUACUGGGUGUAAAGGGCGUGUAGGCGGGAGAGCAAGUCAGACGUGAAAUUCCGGGGCUCAACCCUGGAACUGCGUUUGAAACUGUUCUUCUUGAGUGAUGGCGAGGAAGGCGGAAUUCCGUGUGUAGCGGUGAAAUGCGUAGAUAUACUGAGGAACACCAGUGGCGAAGGCGGCCUGCUGGACAUUAACUGAAGAUGAGGCGCGAAAGCGUGGGGAGCAAACAGGAUUAGAUACCCGAGUAGUC
rnacentral:rRNA from 1 species